ACGGCUACAUCAGGUGAAUCACCGCUUCCCUUAAAAUCACCGACGUUAAGCAACGUCGUACUUGGUCAGUACCUAGAUGGGUGACCGCUCGGGAAUAGCAGAUGCUGUAAG